GACGAACGCUGGCGGCGUGCUUAACACAUGCAAGUCGAACGGUGAGGGCCUUCCUUUUUUGUUGGUGGGGAUGAGUGGCGGAAGGGGUGGUAAAAAGGGGGGAACCUUCCCCCCUCCUCCGGGAAACCCGAUUGAAGGUGUGCCAAUACGGGAUAUUCUGGGGUUUGUGGCUGAUUGGUUCUGGAAAGGAUUUUGUUUGGGUGGGGGUGGGCUCGCGGGCUUUCAGGUUGUUGGUGGGGUGAUGGCCUACCAAGGCGGUGACGGGUAGCCGGCCUGGGAGGGUGGACGGUCACAAUGGGAAUGAGACACGGCCCAGACUCCUACGGGAGGCAGCAGUGGGGAAUAUUGCACAAUGGGCGCAAGCCUGAUGCAGCGACGCCGCGUGAGGGAUGGAGGCCUUCGGGUUGUGAACCUCUUUCGCCAGUGAAGCAGGCCUGCCUCGUUUGUGGGUGGGUUGACGGUAGCUGGAUAAGAAGCGCCGGCUAACUACGUG
rnacentral:rRNA from 1 species